rnacentral:rRNA from 1 species
GACGAACGCUGGCGGCGUGCUUAACACAUGCAAGUCGAACGGAAAGGCCCUGCUUUUGUGGGGUGCUCGAGUGGCGAACGGGUGAGUAACACGUGAGUAACCUGCCCUUGACUUUGGUAUAACUUCAGGAAACUGGGGCUAAUACCGGAUAGGAGCUCCUGCUGCAUGGUGGGGGUUGGAAAGUUUCGGCGGUUGGGGAUGGACUCGCGGCUUAUCAGCUUGUUGGUGGGGUAGUGGCUUACCAAGGCUUUGACGGGUAGCCGGCCUGAGAGGGUGACCGGCCACAUUGGGACUGAGAUACGGCCCAGACUCCUACGGGAGGCAGCAGUGGGGAAUAUUGCACAAUGGGCGGAAGCCUGAUGCGGCAACGCCGCGUGCGGGAUGACGGCCUUCGGGUUGUAAACCGCUUUCGCCUGUGACGAAGCGUGAGUGACGGUAAUGGGUAAAGAAGCACCGGCUAACUACGUG